rnacentral:rRNA from 1 species
AUCGAACGCUGGCGGCAGGCCUAAUACAUGCAAGUCGAGCGAGCGGCGGACGGGUGAGUAAUGUCUGGGAAACCGCCUGAAGGAGGGGGAUAACUACUGGAAACGGUAGCUAAUACCGCAUACCAUCGGAUGUGCCCAGAUGGGAUUAGCUAGUAGGUGGGGUAAAGGCUCACCUAGGCGACGAUCCCUAGCUGGUCUGAGAGGUUGACCAGCCACACGGGAACUGAGACACGGUCCAGACUCCUACGGGAGGCAGCAGUGGGGAAUAUUGCACAAUGGGCGCAAGCCUGAUGCAGCCAUGCGGCGUGUAUGAAGAAGGCCUGCGGGUUGUAAAGUACUUUCAGCGGGGAGGCGUUACCCACAGAGGAAGCACCGGCUAACUCCGUGCCAGCCGCCGCGGUAAUUC